AUGUCCACUAUGGGUGUUGGGUCCAACAAUUCGCAUUGGUCUCAAACCAAUGACAUCCAUUUCGAAGACCAUGAGUUUGAGGUGGACGAGGAGGGUGAGGGAAUUGUCGAGGCGCCGAGAGGAAGAGCGGGCAAUUACUCCACCACCGAUGACAAGUUACUAUGCAACACUUAUUUGCAUGUCUCCAAGGAUCCAUCCAUUGGAGGUGAUCAAAGUAGAGACGCGUAUUGGGGGCGAAUGACAGAACACUAUAAUGCUCACAACAAGAGUGGAAUUUACCGCUCCGAGAGAUCACUUCGGUCCCGAUGGUCGACAAUCAACUCGGAUUGUCAAAAGUGGGCGGCCGCGCAAAAGUCGGUGGACAAGAUUAAUCCAAGUGGCACAAAUGAGGAUGAUCGAUUCAACAUUGCACAAAACUUGUUCAAAAAUGAGACAAGGACAACCAAGAAGGGGAAGAUCAAGAAAGGCCGGAUCUUUACCUUGCCUCAUUGCUAUGAAGUGUUAAAGGAUGAUGAGAAAUGGAAGAAGCGUGAUGGUUUGGAGGAUUUGCAUUUGAGCAACAAACGGAAGCGAGCAAUUGAGAUGAAUGAUGAGGAGGAGGAGGAUGAUGCAUCAAGUGAUGACGGCAAGAGAAGCCCCACACCCAACUCGGUUUCAUACUCGAAGCCAAAACGACCGGAUGGGUGCAAGAAAGACAAAACCGACAAGAAGAAGAAGAAAGGAGAUGAUGAGUUCAAAAAUGCUAUGGAAGCUAUUGUGAAGGCAAGGGUCGAAGCGAAUGAGGUGAGGAAAAUGGCAAGGACCCAAGAUGCCGUGGCCGAGGAGAGGAGAUUGGCGGCCGAGGAGAGAAGGGUGGCGGCCGAGGAGAGAAAGGUGACUUUGGAGGAGAGGAAAGUGAGCAACGAGGAGCGAGCUAAGUUGUUGGAAUGGGAGAAGCACUUGUUCUUCAUGGACACAUCUAACCUCAAUGCGGCGCAAAAGGAGUAUGUUAAUCUUGCCCAACAAGAAGUCUUGAUCCAAAAAAGAGCCUUGGUUCGUGCAAUGGGUGGCGAUGGCCUCGGCGCCAUGGGAGGCAUGGGUGGCUUCAGCGCCAUGGGAGGCGGUGGCCUCGGCGCCAUGGGAGGCAUGGGUGGUCUCGGCGCCAUGGGAGGCGGUGGCCUCAGCGCCAUGGGUGGUGGUGGCCUCGGCGCCAUGGGAGGCAUGGGUGGUCUCGGCGCCAUGGGAGGCGGUGGCCUCAGCGCCAUGGGUGGUGGUGGCCUCGGCGCCAUGGGAGGCAUUGGUGGCUUUGGAGGCAUGGGAGGCAUGGGUGCACCUCCGGCCGCCAUGGGAGGCAUGGGUGGCUUUGGAGCACCUUCCGACGCUAUGGCCGCCAUGGGAGGCAUGGGUGCACCUCCGACCGCCAUGGGAGGUAUGGGUGGCUUUCGAGCACCCUCCGACGCCAUGGCCGCCAUGGGAGGCAUGAGUUUUGCUUCUCUCAUGGGAGGUAUGGGUGCACCUCCGGCCGCCAUGGCUUCUCACACACAUUCCCAUGAAGAUGCCGUUGAAGAUCUUGCCAACACCGUCGGAGCUUCACAUGAUGCGGUGCGUGAUGCGGUGCGUGAUGAGGAUAGGGAGGAAGGUUCAUCUUCGGAGGCGGAAGAGUCGUCUUCGGAAGAUGAGGACGAAGACGAAGAAGAGGAAGAUGAAGAUUGA
rnacentral:rRNA from 1 species